GCUUUCUACGCAACCUGUCGUCGUUGUAUAUCUUCUAGGCAAUAUGGGUCGUCUAAGUCGGACUAUCUACGUUGGAAAUCUUCCUGGUGAUAUUCGGGAGAGAGAAGUAGAAGAUUUGUUUUACAAGUAUGGUCCCAUUGUGGAAAUUGAUUUGAAAGUUCCACCUAGACCACCUGGUUAUGCGUUCGUAGAGUUUGAAGAUCCUCGUGAUGCUGAUGAUGCCAUUCGUGGGCGUGAUGGCUAUGACUUUGACGGGCAUCGCUUGCGAGUUGAACUUGCACAUGGUGGGCGAGGAUCAUCAUCAUAUGAUCGCCACAGUAGUUACAGUAGUGCGAGUCGCAGUGGACUUUCUAGGCGCUCUGACUAUCGCGUACUGGUCUCUGGACUACCGUCUUCUGCCUCAUGGCAAGACUUGAAGGAUCAUAUGCGACGAGCUGGAGAUGUCUGCUUCUCUCAAGUUUUCCGAGAUCGUGACGGUAUGAGAGGGAUUGUGGACUAUACCAACUAUGAUGAUAUGAGAUACGCGAUAAAGAAACUUGAUGACUCUCUGUUUCGCAAUCAAUUCUCUCGAGCAUAUAUUAGGGUGGACAAGUAUGAUAAGAGGCAUAGCUAUUCCAGGAGUCCAAGUCCAUACAAUUCUAGAAGCAGAAGUUACUCAAGAAGUAGGAGUCCUCGACGAAGCUACAGCAGCCAGAGCGGAAGUGUAUCUCCUAGGGGUAAAUACUCUCGUCGCUCUGUGUCUAUCUCACCCUCAAGGGCUUUUUCCCCUGCGCUCUCUCUUUCAAGGUACUUUUUCGUUUCACAUCAAGGUUUUUAUUUAUUUUUUAUGCUUCCGAAAUUAUCAUGUACUCAUUUAUGUUUUGAAGAUGGGUUUUUAAACAUUCCUAUUUCGUGUUUUGAUUGCAUAUGGGUAUGCCCAAUUUGAAUUCUUUCUGAAAGUCUGCCAGAUGCAGUCUGGUUGCUAGUGUUCUUCUUAGGAUCCUUGUUUCCCUUCAAUCGAGAAUUAUCCCCUCCUUGGUGGUGUUUUUAUGCUUGCUUAAUAGAAAUUUUGCAUGAGGACUACUAGCACAGGUUGACUGGGAAAAUCUAUCGUUUGCAUCUUAUCUUCGUGGUUUUGACUCGUUAAAGAAUUGACACCUCCUUUGGAGAAAGGACUACUCACAGUUUUCUACACAGUGGCUUGUUUUCUACAUUUCCUGUGAUGAUGUAUGGUUAGCUGAUCAAUCACUCCUUUUUUGAUGUUUCAUUUUCAGUGAUAUGCAGAGUCGAGAGACUCGUGGUAGUAUCACAAGUAUGUGUGGAGAAGUACAUCUAGUGUCUCUCUUUAUCUUUUGUGAGCUAUAGAAUGAUAUCAUAAUUUCUGGAAGUUUGUAGGAAUAGCAAUGACCAAAUAAUUAUAUAUACUUGGAGAGGGAUAUGAAUUCGACACUUAUCGUGCGGUUGAUAGAUGAGGAAUUGGAAAUUUGGUGCUAUUAGAAUGACGAAUGAGAGAACCUUAUAUUUUAUAGACUGGUCUGUUAUGUGGGAAGUUUUACUGGCACCAAGUUAUCAGAGUCAACCCGAGUCCUUACUGGAUGAGAACUUAUACAAGGAGCUGUCCCUCUUUAAGAAUGAGACUACAAGAUGAUCUACCUCUCGUUUUUUGCUUGAGUUUGAUGGAUUUGUACCGUCCAUUUUCUGUAGUUCUAUGCCUCAACUUCUAUUUAUCUAGAAGAAUCUGAAAUCUGAGUAGUUUUACUGUUGCCUAGUACGUCUUACGGAUUUAAAUAUCUUUUGCAGACUCGUCAUACUUUUUAUUCUUUCCUCGAUGUUGUUAGAGGCACUUGAGGUUUGAAGUAAGGUUCAAUGCAGAUGGUGUAUGUUGCUAGAUUCUGUGUCUCAAGUCUUAACCAAAACCUGCUAAUUAAAUGCUUUGGUAUAUAGCCUGUAAAGUGAUAUUAAAGAAGCGUCAUGAAAGAGUUUGAAAUCGACUAGGAAUAGGAAAUGACAAACUUCGUGUAGGAAGCUAGUCACUCAAGCUGAGCUAGAUGUCUAUAAUUGCAUAUUUUGCAUCUAAAUAGUUUUUUUCAAG
rnacentral:misc_RNA from 1 species